AUGGUUCACACUGAUGUUCCGAUUGAUAACAAGAAAUUGUGGAAGCUCAAAAUUCCCCUAAGAGUGAAGAUAUUCCUCUGCUUUCUAAAUAGAGAGGUCAUCUUAACUAGAGAUAACCUGGCACAACGCAACUGGCAUGGUAGCAACACAUGUGUCUUUUGCCAACAUGACGAGUCCAUCAAACACUUAUUUUUUGAGUGUAAGUUUGAUCGUGCAGUCUGGGCCAUGGUUCAAGUAGCUUCAAAUCUAUAUCCCCUGUAA
rnacentral:rRNA from 1 species